rnacentral:rRNA from 1 species
UGGGCAAUCUGCCCUGCACUCUGGGACAAGCCCUGGAAACGGGGUCUAAUACCGGAUGACACUGUUCCCCUCAUGGGGGACGGUUGAAAGCUCCGGCGGUGCAGGAUGAGCCCGCGGCCUAUCAGCUUGUUGGUGGGGUAAUGGCCUACCAAGGCGACGACGGGUAGCUGGCCUGAGAGGGUGACCGGCCACACUGGGACUGAGACACGGCCCAGACUCCGUACGGGAGGCAG